UCUGUUCCAAUAUUUGGACUUUGACCUCAGUUCCUGACACAGAUCUCCUAAAUCCUUGGCAAUUUCCUGGAUGAUAGGAUCAUCUUUUGUUCUAAUGAAGCAACUCUUGGUGGGCUCACAGAGAGUCUCAAGACAGGAGCUGGUUGCCAAGGAAACCAACCAUGCAAUAAGAGGAUUAGAAUAUUCAGCCCCACCCCAUGACUUCCAGAGACAGAGGAAAGGCUGAAGGUUGAGUUGAUUACCAGUAGCUCACGAUAUAAUCAUUCAUGCCUACAUAACACAGCUUUCAUAAGAACCCAAUAGGACAGGGUUCAAGGACCCUCUAAAGAAUGCCACACCUAUAGAGGCAUGGAAACUCUUUGCCACUUUCAUCUGACUAUUGAUCUAUAUCCUUUGUAAUGCCUCUUAUAAGAAAUGGGCAGAUUCUAGCAGUGUUUGUGAGAAAAACUGAUGGAUCCUGCAGAUUAACUAUGGACAGCCAAAUAUUGAGUAAAGUGAUGUCUACAACAGCAUCAGCUAUGCCUGAUAUGGUGUUAAUUCACAUUGUGAAGUUCCAAAAUCAGAAGAUGAUACAGAAAGAUUGCUCUGGUUGCCUGGUUUCUGAAGAAAUCGUGUACCCUGUCUGGAUAGUGUCUUACUUCCUAUCCACAAAGUUGUGAAAUAAUCUGGAAUUAAAUGGCAACCUAAACAACCCUAGAGUUGCCUGAACACAGAGCCAUUGCUGUGUUGAUCAUUAUAGCAGUCCUCAAUAGGAAAAAGAUGCCUCCCUGGUCGACCUUCCUGGAAAGUAUGCAUAUCAUUACUGCUUAGAUUUUGUUGGAGAGAAAUCACACUACCAUCAAAGACAACGGGUCAAAAAGAAUGCCGUCCUAAGCUGAGAAGCCAUCUUCCUAACGACAGCCAUGUAAUAUGAAAGGGAAAAACACACUGUUAUUGAAGAACUUAUCAGCUAUGUCACAUCUUCCACACAAAUACUCAGGAAAGUUAAAAGAAAAUUUUACCUCGGACACAGUUGAUGAUUGCUAAAGUCCUAUUGCAUGCUUUAAGAUGCCUUGCGUUUGGUGAAUUGAAGCCUGAUAUGUCAACAUACUCUCUGUAAACACAGCAGCACAGAGGGCAAAGAAACACUUAUCCAGCACCACAGCUAGGACAAAAGGAAUUAUUUUGACAGUAAAUGGACUUGCAGCUUAAGUUAAGUGCAUUAAUAUUGGGAUGGUAUUAACUAUACAAAAUUGUUUCUAAGCAAAGGUGACCAGAUGUCCUAAUUUGACUGAUUGAUUUGUUUGCUUAGUUAAAUACCCUUGUAAUUUGAUUGUUUAUAGAUGUUUGCCUACUCUUAUUUUUAUCAAUCUGCUAAGUGCUAUGCAUAGAAAAGUAUAUAUUUGAAAUUAACUAUUUUUCAUUACAAUAUUCUAGCUUAUGUGCUUAUUUUUCAUAAACUAUUUAUCUAGUAAUCACCAUGAAAUCAAAUGGUUAUUUGUAGUGGGAUGGUUCUAAAAAUAUUAAUGUGAUAUUUUAUUUCUGAUAGUAUUUAAUAAGACAAGUCCUAAAUUUAAAACCAUGUAUUUCUUUAUAGACAAAUCUUUCUCUUUACUCACCAACUCUUUCUACUCUUUUGUGGUAGAACUUUUUGUCACCAUUUUAUUAGCUCAGAUUGUGAGCAAAGACACAUUAAAAUGGAUAGAGAAGUUGAUGUCACAAUUGCUAAACUGAUUAAAAUAACUGAAUAAUGAUUUUAAUUUACUCAUUUUGGUUAAACCAAAAAUACUUGUCUCUACCAUCAAAAAAAUGCAAAAGUCCAUGUUUUGGAGCAUGUUAAUGAAAUAUAUAAUUUUUAAAAUAAACAACAUCAACAGUUGUCAAAAAUUAAAGCGAUAAAAAUAUAGAUUUCAUCUCUUGGCAGGGUAAAGUCUUCAUGUUAGUUGAAUAGUAAAUGUUACUCUUUCAAAUUAAGAUGUCUCUACCAAAUGGGGCAUUUAAUAAGGACUGACAAUUUGGAUCCAAAUUUAUUGUUCUGUGACCAUAUUAAAUUGAGAAAUACAGAAGUGUACACAUAUUAAAAAUGUACACUACAUGAUUCCCAAUUUAAGAAAAACUAAAGACAAACUAUAAAAUACAUAGAUCAACCACAUGUUUUAUUCAUAUUACUUAGCAUACUUCAAAUGAAGUUUCAAAACUCUACAUUGUUUGUGUCAUGUUAAUAAACCAUACUAUCUUGAAUAAUCAUGAAAUAAAAUUAAUUGAAAUAAUUCAACUAGUAUGAUAAGUGUGUAUUUAAUUAAGUCAAUUGCAAGCAUAAUAAAGAAAAACAAUAAAAAAUCACAAUUUUUAUUCAGUUAGAGGUUGUAGUAUUUGUCCCCAAAGGAAAAUUAAUCUAUUCAUAGUUGCCUUAAUAUUGGGGAUAGUAUUCUCAAACAUUUUUAGGUGUACAAACUAUGCCUUUUUGUUUAUCUAAUUUAAAGUUAUCAAAUUUACAGCAAAUGUACUUUGGAAUAUAAACUCUCCUUCAAUAAUACAAUCCAAAAAACAAAGACUUAUUUCUGAAAUAUACUAUUAGAAAUAAGGCAUAUUGGCAGGGCACGGUGGCUCACGCCUUAAUCCCAGCACUUUGGGAGGCCAAGGCCGGCAGAUCACAAGGUCAGGAGAUUGAGACCAUCCUGAGUAACACGGUGAAACCCCGUCUGUACAAAAAAUACAAAAAAUUAGCUGGGUGUGGUGGCAUGCGCCUAUAGUCCCAGCUACUCGGGAGGCUGAAGCAAGACAAUCACUUGAACCUGGUAGGCGAAGGUUGGAGUGAGCCGUUGGUAUGUACCCAAUUGUGACUAAACCAAAAGAAACAAAUCUGGAAACUGAAGUAUCAAUACGUGAAAAGCGUUCUUUUGGUAUUGGGAGUGCCAGUUGUCUUUGUUUCAUGAACUACUUCUCCGUAAUAGCAUGCAGCCAUCUUCAAGAGAUUAUAAGUCACAGUCUGUAAGAAAAGAAAAAGUAAAACAAGAUAGACUCCUGAGAACACUAAUUCCAGCAAAGAAGAAGAAGAUCUUCCUAAAAAACAAGGAUUACUCAAAGUUAUUGAGAAGAAAUACAGGUUCUGGUGGACAAUUUCCAGUCUGGAGUCUGCAUUUGGAGAGAUUCUACAGCACAUGCAUGAAUGGUGUGCUGCCUAUUCAUUUAAGAAACUGAUGGUUUUACGACUAGUAGCAUGGUGUAUUUAACAAACACUGGCCUAGGACUCAUAAACAGAGAUGACUACAGGUUGAUGAUCUAAUAAAUAUUCUAGUCAUCACUGCCUGGGCUAAAGAGGAGGAGGUGGUGUCCCAAGGGCAUUUAUAUCUUUGCUCUGUAUUUGGAGGAGAAUGGAGAGUUCCAAAUGAUCAGAGCUUGCACAUUACUAGAUCCCCUUUCUAGGGAAAAUGCUGCGAUCAAUUGAAGUUGUCAUCCUCAUGAAGCUCAUACUGUUUUGCCUGAAAAAUAAAUGUAAAUGCACAUUCUUGGUCUUAAAAUACAUAGAAACAAUACUUUUUUCCCUGCUACUAGCUUUGUAAGAUAAAUAGGGUUCAUGUUUAACAUAUAUACUCAAUACUUGGGCAAUUUGUCUUCAUCUAAUGAAUUAUUAUUUACCAUUUUUAAAUUAUCUGCUCAGAUUACAAGAUUCUUUUUAACAAUAACCAAAUUUUAAUUAGUAAAACUUUUGGUCACUUUAUAUUUUCUGAUGUGCAUAUUACAAUAAAAU
rnacentral:lncRNA from 10 species